GGACGAACGCUGGCGGCGUGCCUAAUACAUGCAAGUCGAGCGAUUGGUGCUUGCACCAAAGCGGCGGACGGGUGAGUAACACGUGGGUAACCUGCCCAAGAGACUGGGAUAACACCUGGAAACAGAUGCUAAUACCGGAUAACAACACUGACGCAUGUCUAGAGUUAAAAGAUGUUCUUAUCACUCUUGGAUGGACCUGCGGUGCAUUAGCUAGUUGGUAAGGUAACGGCUUACCAAGGCAAUGAUGCAUAGCCGAGUUGAGAGACUGAUCGGCCACAUUGGGACUGAGACACGGCCCAAACUCCUACGGGAGGCAGCAGUAGGGAAUCUUCCACAAUGGACGCAAGUCUGAUGGAGCAACGCCGCGUGAGUGAAGAAGGGUUUCGGCUCGUAAAGCUCUGUUGGUAGUGAAGAAAGAUAGAGGUGUAAGCCUUUAUUUGACGGUAAUUACUUAGAAAGUCACGGCUAACUACGUGCCAGCAGCCGCGGUAAUACGUAGGUGGCAAGCGUUGUCCGGAUUUAUUGGGCGUAAAGCGAGUGCAGGCGGUUCAAUAAGUCUGAUGUGAAAGCCUUCGGCUCAACCGGAGAAUUGCAUCAGAAACUGUUGAGCUUGAGUGCAGAAGAGAGAGUGGAACUCCAUGUGUAGCGGUGGAAUGCGUAGAUAUAUGGAAGAACACCAGUGGCGAAGGCGGCUCUCUGGUCUGCAACUGACGCUGAGGCUCGAAAGCAUGGGUAGCGAACAGGAUUAGAUACCCUGGUAGUCCAUGCGUAAACGAUGAGUGCUAAGUGUUGGGAGGUUUCCCCUCUCAGUGCUGCGGCUAACGCAUUAAGCACUCCGCUGGGGAGUACGACCGCGAGGUUGAAACUCAAAGGAAUUGACGGGGGCCCGCACAAGCGGUGGAGCAUGUGGUUUAAUUCGAAGCAACGCGAAGAACCUUACCAGGUCUUGACAUCCAGUGCAAACCUAAGAGAUUAGGAGUUCCCUUCGGGGACGCUGAGACAGGUGGUGCAUGGCUGUCGUCAGCUCGUGUCGUGAGAUGUUGGGUUAAGUCCCGCAACGAGCGCAACCCUUGUCAUUAGUUGCCAUCAUUAAGUUGGGCACUCUAAUGAGACUGCCGGUGACAAACCGGAGGAAGGUGGGGAUGACGUCAAGUCAUCAUGCCCCUUAUGACCUGGGCUACACACGUGCUACAAUGGACGGUACAACGAGAAGCGAACCUGCGAAGGCAAGCGGAUCUCUGAAAGCCGUUCUCAGUUCGGACUGUAGGCUGCAACUCGCCUACACGAAGCUGGAAUCGCUAGUAAUCGCGGAUCAGCACGCCGCGGUGAAUACGUUCCCGGGCCUUGCACACACCGCC
rnacentral:rRNA from 1 species